rnacentral:lncRNA from 1 species
UCAGAUCUCAUUACAGAUGAUUGUGAGCCACCAUGUGGUUGCUGGGAAUUGAACUCAGGACCCCUGGAAGAGCAGGAGUGUUAGCUUGUUCAUGUCUUUGAGUUAAAGUUUAAAUUUUAUGGUAAUUAGCUAACGGCGUGAUCAUUGAAACUAAAAAUAGAAAGUAUUUCAGACCAGUGAAACUUGGAGUACAGCUGCUUCGGGGUUAGACUGUAAAUUUGAAUUGCUUUCAUUGAGGCAAUUCAAGUCAGGAAUGACAACACAGGCUGGUUUAAAAAGUAGCCUGCCGGGUUGUUUGCGAUCUCUGAGCUUUGUGUUUUCUGGGUGUUGCUAGUCCAUUUAAACUCUUGUAAAUGUACAGUGCACGUCUGAGCUCUUUUGUUUCCACACGUAGUACAUGUGCUGUGCUGGGCAUGUGCACUGCCGCUCCUUGUUUUGAGUAAUUUCUAUACUGGAUCUGAGCAAAGGCUGAAAAGCAAUUCGAGUAAUUUUUAAAGGACUGACUAUUACGAUCUGUUUCUUUUUCAGAUGGCUCUUAGUGACACAGGCAAUGUUAGACUUUCUAGGAACUUUCUAGUUUGUAAGUUAUAUGACCCUCUGUCUUCUUCCUUUAGCUACUGGAAUAUCUGCCACUUUGCUGUGUUCUUUGCACAGUGAAAGAGAAUGAAGUGGGUGGGUAAAAUGGUUCAGUGGAUAAAGAUUCUUGCUGCUAAACCUGUUGAUUUGAGGGAACUACACGGUAGGGGAGAACUAACCACUGCAAGUUGUCCUCUGACCUUUACACUUGUGAUUUGGCGUGUGCGCGCUCACAAAUCUAAAACAUGAAUUAAAGAAAGGAGUUUGUCCUCCUGAUUUUGUUCUCAGACCUGAUCACCUCUGCCUGUAAUGCAUGGGAUUAAGUUCUCAAACCUCCCUGAGGUCUCCUGUCCUGAGUUGAAGACAACAGUGUGCUUUGGGAUGCUCUUGAACAUCUGUGUAGCUGUUGGCUUUGAAUUUGCUGUAAUGUCCCCACUUUAGCCUGGAUCACAGGUGUGUGCUGUGCUUGGCUCCUCCUCCUCCUCUUCCUCCUCUUCCUUCCCUUUCCUUUCUUCCUUCUCCUUUUUUUUCUUUCUCUUCUUCCUAGUUCCUCUGACCUCUUCCUCCUCUUCUUCCCCUUCCUUUUCUCUUCCUCCCUCCCUCCUUUCCUUCCUUCCACCUUCCUCCUCUGCCUCUUCCUCCUCCUCCUUUUUUCUUCAUUGAUAGACUGAACUCCGUGCAGCUGAGGCCAGCCUUCAACCCAUGUCUCUUACCUCUUAGGUGCUAGUCUAUAUAGAUCGAUGGCCACCAUGCCCGGCAAAGAAGGAACCUGCUUCCAUUUCUGAUGUGUGAAAUACAGCCCCUGGCCAGCUUUUUUGGGGUUGUUUUUGGGAAUUGAGGAUUCCUGCUUGUUUGUUUUGUUUGUUUGUUUGUUUUUUAAAUUUUUGUUUAUCUCUUUGUUUUUAUUUUUGUUUUUUCGAGACAGGGUUUCUCUGUAUAGCCCUGGCUGUCCUGGAACUCACUUUGUAGACCAGGCUGGCCUUGAACUCAGAAAUCCGCCUGCCUCUGCCUCCCGAGUGCUGGGAUUAAAGACAUGUGCCACCACCGCCUGGCCUGUUUGUUUGUUUUUGAGACAGGGUUUCUCUGUGUAGCCCUGGCUGUCCUGGGGCUCAACUUUGUAGACCAGGCUGGCCUCGAACUGAGAAACACCCACCUGCUUCUACUUUCUGCAUAUUGAGUUUACAGGUGUGCACCACCACUCCUGGUUAUUUCUGUUGAGUUUUUUGAAGUUUCUUCAUUCAUUUUUUUCCCCCCACUCAUCUUCAUGUGACUACGACAUUCUCAAGUACAGUAAAAAAACCCAACCUAAAAGAAUGAAGAUAUCGUUUGUAGCCCUUGCUUUACUAAUAGCUACAUAAAAGUUCUUGUAUAAUGAGGCUCCUGGGGGAUAGUCUGGGAACCUAACAGGCUUGUUGUUGGGUUAUAUUUUGAGACAGGAUUUUAUCUGUCCCAUACUAACUCGAAUAAAUGUGAACCCCUGACCCUCCAGCCUCUGCCUCCCAAGUGCUAGGGUUAUGGUAUAUGCUGCAACUCUGGGUCCCUGACAGGCUUUUCUGUAUCUCAUUGUUCAUUUUAACUUUUGAAAAUUAUUAAGGCUGAUGUGCUGGGCAUACCUGCAACCUUAGAACUUAGGCACCGAGACAGGAGGAUUGUAAGGUUGAGGCCAGCCUGAGCUUAUAAAGUGAGACCUCAUCUCAAUAAGGGAGGGAAAGAGGGUGGAGAAGGAGAACGGAGUCAAGAAGGGAUUAGUUUAAUCAGAGGGAAGUGAGUAGGUUUGGUAGAAUCAGACCCCAGACUACCCUGCUGAAGUGCGAGAGUGUUCUGUCAGUCAGUCCUGCCUAGUGACCGUCUUUCCUGAGACAGUGCUCUGGCAGGCUUUUUUUUUAGACAUUUAUUUUAUUUAUUUUUGGGUUGUGUGCGUGUGUGUGCUGUGUGCCUGCUUGCACAUGCAUGUCAUGGCACAUGUGUGCCAUGAAGUCAGAGAAUUUGGUGGGCAGGAGCCUCUUCUUGUUAAUUUUUUUGUAGGCGUGUGUUGCCUUCAUGGAGGUAUGUGCAGCACGUGUGUAGCUGGUACUCAUAGAACACAGAAGAUGCUGGAUCCCCUGGAACUGAGAGACCAUGUGGGUGCUGGGAACUGAGCCUGCAUUUUCUGGAAGAGCCAGUGUUUCCACUGGAGCUAUCUUAUUCUCCCUCUCUCCCUCCUUCCCUCCUUCGCUCUCCUUUUCUCACCCCCCCUUUUUUUUUUUUUUUUUUUUUUUUUUUUUUGGAAACAGGGUUUCUCUAUGUAUCCCUGGCUGUCCUGGAAUUCACUCUGUAUGUAGACCAGGCUCCCCUGGAACAAACAGAUCCACCUGCCUCUGCCUCCCAGGUUCUGGGAUUAAAGGUGUGUGCUACCACACCUAGCCUCCUUUUUUUGUCUUUUAAAAAGCACUUAAUUGUUAAUUUUUGCAAUUUUGUGAUUUCUAUUUCUGUUAUUAAUUCUCCCCUUGCGUUUUUUCCCCAAGAGGUUUGGAAAUAAAUGAAAAAAAUUCUUUGACUUUUAUAAAAUGUCUUUUCUUUUUUCACUUUUUAAAAUCAUAAGAUUUAUUUUGGAGAUAAUGAUUUGUCUUCCAGUAAUUUAAAACGUUUAGAGUAAGUGAUCAACUGGGUACAUUCAGUGUGUUUACAGAGUUGUACAGAGCACAACUGCACCCAAUUAAAAGGAAUGUCACCUCUGAGCCAUCACCCCUGAGCUUACUUGAGCUUCUGCAAGCACUCAGGUACUCUGUGUCCCUGUGGCUUUGCUGUUUGAAUUCUUCAGGAAAGUGGGCUUCUGCAGUGAUGUGUGCUCUUCUGCUCAGUACACGGGUGUAGUCAGAACAGAGCAGUUAUGUAAGAAUUCUUUAUUUCUGUGGAGUAUUAUUACAAUGUAUGGAGAUGCAGCCUUCCCAGAUGGCUGAUACGGAACUGUACUUUAAAACUGACAGGCUAGAGGCAUGGUAGGUGCAGGUUUUUCUAUCUUGCAUGGCGCAUCGCUCUGAUAAUCUUGUAGGUGUAUGACAAGUGUGAAGGCUGUGCUGUGCUGUGCUGUGCUGCUGUGAUUGUUCACAUUCGGAAGUGAGGCCUGAAGGAGGAGCUGUACUGGGCAUGCUCAAUGGCACCUCGGGACUUCCAGAGCCGUUGGUCUCUGAAGUCAGCUCACUUGUUUCUCGUCAGGAUUUGAUUUAAAAACUACUUAAAUUCCUUGUGUACAUAGGACAACACAUGUUCAUUGUU